UACGUAGGGUGCGAGCGUUGUCCGGAAUUAUUGGGCGUAAAGAGCUCGUAGGCGGUUUGUUGCGUCGGCCGUGAAAACUUGGGGCUUAACCCCGAGCCUGCGGUCGAUACGGGCAGACUUGAGUUCGGCAGGGGAGACUGGAAUUCCUGGUGUAGCAGUGAAAUGCGUAGAUAUCAUAAGGAACACCGGUGGCGAAGGCGGCGACCUGGUCCGAUACUGACGCUGAGGCGCGAAAGCGUGGGGAGCAAACAGG
rnacentral:rRNA from 1 species